UGGCCCAAGUCCUUGGGCCCCUGUAUCCAUGUGGGAGACCUGGAAGAAGCUCCUGGCUUCUGGCCUUGGAUCGGUGCAACUCCGGCCAUUGUGGCUAUCUGAGGAGUGAACCAUCAGAUGGAAGACCUCUCUCUAAGUCUGAGGUAUGAUUCUGGGCACCUUCACAUAUUUCCAAGACUAAACAAAAUUAUUACAUACCCUGUGAUGCUAACAUUUGAAGACCUGGCUGUUUACUUUACCUGGGAGGAAUGGCAGAACAUGAACAAAGCUCAGAAAAUUCUGUACAGGGAUGUG